GGGUGGGGGGUGGGGGGGAGGAAAGCACAGUGGCUCUGACCUAAUUACUCCAUUGCUCCUUCAGAAAAUCCUACAGGAAGGGCAACUUGUACCAGGUGGAGUGGGAAUAGGCUGUGUUGGGACAGCAAAAAGGUUUUUGGAAAGAAGGAAAAUAUUAGAGAGGAGCAACUCAGGGAAAAUCAGGAUUGAAGCUGGGAGAAAAGGAAAAAUUAGACUGAAGGAAUGGCACCCCGAAAAUGGAGAGGGAAAAGAGAUAAGACAAAUACACCUCUACCCCAAUAUAACGUGACCGGAUAUAACACAAAUUCGAAUAUAACGCGGUAAAGCAGUGCUCCAGGGGAUCAAAGCAAGUUCGAUAUAACGCGGGGAACACACAGCAAUUCUGUAACAUGGCCCAUUGUGAUCCUCAUCUUCAACACAGACCUACAGCUUACCAAGAGGUCCCAGCAUGGGAACAAGAUGCAGCACCACAGGCUGAGAUGUGUAAUUUCUGUUGGCUGCAGCUCUGAACUGAAGACAAGUAAUUGCUAACUGUUCCAUUUUAUGCAAAUAAUGUUUUAGCCCUUGGGCUCCUGAAAUGAUGGUCAUUCGGUCCUCAGGAAUGUAAACUGACUUAAUUCUCCAGCAGGCUGACAUGGUGAAGACCAGUACAAAAACCCAGUACAUUCUCAAAAGUCAUAUGAGUUAGCCAUUUGCCAUAGCUGUUCACUCAAAACCAUGUUCUUUGGCAGUGACCUAAGAGGAUGUCUGCCCUACAACAUUAAACAGCGAUAAAAAAUGGUUAACCUUUAACUUCUCUUUCAGAGAUGGUUCCAGGUGGCACAUAAGGUCUUUUUUAGAUACAAUCAGGGA